GGGUUGUGAGGUUAAGCGACUAAGCGUACACGGUGGAUGCCCUGGCAGUCAGAGGCGAUGAAGGACGUGCUAAUCUGCGAUAAGCGCCGGUAAGGUGAUAUGAACCGUUAUAACCGGCGAUUUCCGAAUGGGGAAACCCAGUGUGACUCGUCACACUAUCAUUAACUGAAUCCAUAGGUUAAUGAGGCGAACCGGGGGAACUGAAACAUCUAAGUACCCCGAGGAAAAGAAAUCAACCGAGAUUCCCCCAGUAGCGGCGAGCGAACGGGGAGGAGCCCAGAGCCUGAAUCAGCAUGUGUGUUAGUGGAAGCGUCUGGAAAGGCGCGCGAUACAGGGUGACAGCCCCGUACACAAAAGCGCAUAUGCUGUGAGCUCGAUGAGUAGGGCGGGACACGUGGUAUCCUGUCUGAAUAUGGGGGGACCAUCCUCCAAGGCUAAAUACUCCUGACUGACCGAUAGUGAACCAGUACCGUGAGGGAAA
rnacentral:rRNA from 1 species